rnacentral:pre_miRNA from 14 species
UCUGGUGCCGGGUGUUUGAGCGGCUGGAACCGGGCCCGGAGCGCUGUCUGAGAGGGUUUAAGUUUCUCACAGUGAACCGGUCUCUUUUUCAGUCUCUUCUAAUCUUCCUGAUCUCUC